GCCUUCUUAGCUUAGGGGUACAGCGUUCGCUUUGUAAGCGAAAGGUCGUCGGUGCGAUUCCGGCAGACGACU
rfam:Gregarina niphandrodes unplaced genomic scaffold scaffold00085, whole genome shotgun sequence.